UUUAUGCUUUAAACCAACGAAAA
rnacentral:snRNA from 1 species